rnacentral:rRNA from 1 species
ACUACGGGAGGCUGCAGUGAGGAAUAUUGGUCAAUGGCCGAGAGGCUGAACCAGCCAAGUCGCGUGAGGGAUGACGGCCCUACGGGUUGUAAACCUCUUUUGUCGGGGAGCAAAGAGAGUCACGUGUGGCUCAUUGAGAGUACCCGAAGAAAAAGCAUCGGCUAACUCCGUGCCAGCAGCCGCGGUAAUACGGAGGAUGCGAGCGUUAUCCGGAUUUAUUGGGUUUAAAGGGUGCGCAGGCGGAGGUGCAAGUCAGUGGUCAAAUUGCGGGGCUCAACCCCGUACUGCCGUUGAAACUGCAUCCCUUGAGUGCGCGAAGGGUAGGCGGAAUGCGUGGUGUAGCGGUGAAAUGCAUAGAUAUCACGCAGAACUCCGAUCGCGAAGGCAGCCUACCGGCGCGCAACUGACGCUCAUGCACGAAAGCGUGGGUAUCGAACAGGAUCAGAUACCCUAGUAGUC